UCAGGGAGGGCCCUGAGGGUUCUGAUCACUCCCAGCACUUGAUCCAAAGGCCCCAGGCCCUUGGAGGCAUUUCAGUGGCUGGCUUGGGUUAAAACUGCAUGACAGGCGCCUCUUAACCUGGGCCUCUUGGGCCUGGAAAAUUGGCUGCUGGAAGGGAGAAAGGCUAAGGGUAGCGUCCCAGCCGGUAUCUCAGCAACGCGGGGUUACAGGCCGCAGGAUGAGUGCUCCAGCUGACCCAGACUCACCACUUUUCAGUUGUCAUGCAAGCAAGCAAACACUUCCCAAUUCCAGGCCAGAAAUCUUUCUAAACUGUGGCAGCCGCUUCCCUUUCUUCACAAGCAGACGGCACUGGGUAUAAUUUAAGCUUUUUCUUCAUGUCUCCGUGCCAUCUUGCUGAAACAUCAGCUACUGUUCUGUCCUUCAAUGCAGACCUGGCCUCAGGAGAUUGUAAGGUGUUAAGAGCUGGGUCUGAGACUUCUGGAAGAAUGCAGGAGCUGUGACUUUAUGCAGACCUCCCUACAUGUUUUCACUCCAGAUCAACAUGCUGGGAGAAUGCAAAUGCAAAUACACAUGCAAAUGAUCUCAUCUCCUCAUGGACUGUGGCCACUUCUGCCUGUCCAGGAGAAAUGGAUGCUGGCUGCCCUGCUUCUCCAGGCGGGGGCUGCCCUUGCUGCAUCCUGGCAGUGAUGAUGCGGUGCCCACUCGAAGAGCGGUUCUGGCUGGGAGUGCGGGAGGGGGGCUCAUGGUCUUCCUGCUGUUCCCCUCCUCAUCGAAAAUGUUUUCUUAUGUAUAUGAUUCCAUUCCAUAUUGUAUUGUAAUUUGUUUUUAUGUG
rnacentral:lncRNA from 1 species